rnacentral:rRNA from 1 species
UACGGGGGGGGGCUAGCGUUGUUCGGAAUUACUGGGCGUAAAGGGCGCGUAGGCGGCAAAUUAAGUCAGCUGUGAAAUCUCCGAGCUUAACUCGGAACUGUCAGCUGAUACUGAUGUGCUAGAGUGCGGAAGGGGCAAUCGGAAUUCUUGGUGUAGCGGUGAAAUGCGUAGAUAUCAAGAGGAACACCUGAGGUGAAGACGGGUUGCUGGGCCAACACUGACGCUGAGUGCGCGAAAGCCAGGGGAGCAAACGGG